AUUCCAGCUCCUAUAGCGUAUAUUAAAGUUGUUGCAGUUAAAAAGCUCGUAGUCGGAUUUCGGGUCGAUCUGUCCGGUCUGCCGUUGGGUAUGCACUGGUUUUGGUCGGUCUUUUCGCGUGAGGCUCUGUGCGUCGUUGAUUCGGCGUGCCGGGUGCUCUGCACUUUUACUUUGAGAAAAUCAGAGUGUUCAAAGCAGGCCUUUGCCAUUGUAUGUGUUAGCAUGGGAUAAUGGAAUAGGACCUUGGUGCUAUUUGUUGGUUUCGAACGCCGAGGUAAUGAUUAAUAGGGAUAGUCAGGGGCACUCGUAUUCCGUAGAGAGAGGUGAAAUUCUUAGACCCACGGAAGACGUACUACUGCGAAAGCAUUUGCCAGGGAUGUUUUCAUUA
rnacentral:rRNA from 1 species